CGGGUGGAUUUGUUUCGUUGUCGACGUCGCGCCGCAGAGCCGUUCGAGCACACGAGCAUUGUGGUGGCUGCGUUGGGAGGCCGAGCGAGCGUGUGAUUCCGCCGUUUCGACGUCGCGCCGGUGUUGGUUUAGCGUUUCGAGGUGGGUUAAUCAUCGGUUUACUUCCUAAGUAGCUAUAUAGUUGGCAUGUGUUUAUCGUAUUGUUUAGUAUAUUUAGAUUGCUCG
rnacentral:lncRNA from 1 species